ACGGAGUGGAGCAAACACCACUCGGCAUGGGAUAAGCUUACACUGCCUGACCUCAUUUCAUCUGUCCUCAUCCCCUGCCACAGAAGAGCGCCUGACAGCACAUCAGGUACCGAGGGAACUAGGAUGGCUCAACUGAACUGCCCUGCAACAGUCUGGAAUCAGGAAUCAACCAGACUUAAAGCAGUCUUCAGUAUUUGUGUACAGACUGAACUGAUUUAUCGUGCGUGCGAUGUGCUGAGUUGCAAAACCUUACUGUAUUAGUGAUUUAACAGGAGGAACAAUUUGAUUUGUCAUUACUAAUAGGGAUGUAACCAAAUUAGUUUCCCACAUACUUCAUGCUGAGGUCAUGCUUAGAUUUCCCUUUGUAGAUUUACAUUCUCCCUAGCUUUAAUCAAAGCUAAGAAACAUAUCGUCUGAGUAACACUGUUAUGAAAUACUGAAGUAUUUUCAGAGGGGUUUAGAAAGCCAAGAAAAUCAUGGAAGUAAAAAUCAAAGAUAAGCUUUAAUAUUCA